AGUAUGGUUUAUCCACAUCGCCCACCAUAUUCUAUAUUCCCAUUGAAUAAAGUAGAAGCAUAUAAAUUAUAGUAUAUUACAUUUUCCCACAGAGGAAACAGCAACCAUCGUUUUCCAUAAUAAUGCCGUUGCUUUCCCUUUGCUUUCUCUUUUCAUUAAAACACAGCACAUCUGCACUGCACUCUGCACUCUCCCGAAACCCCAACUCUGAACUCACUCUCUACUUUACUUCUGAUCUCAACAAGAAUUUUAAGAUUUUUUCAAUCACUAUCGCUUCUUAAUUCUGUCUGCAUUCAAUUAUCCUCUGAUUUACUCUCUCUCUGAAAUCUUUAAGAUUUUCAAUUUCUGUUCAAAAACCUUUCCUUUUGUUUCUCUCUCUAUAUAAAUGUAAAAUUAUGCACCAAAACAUUAUUUUUUAUAUGUGCGUGUUUGAUUUGUGAGAAAAUAUUGAAGAAAAGAAGGGAAAGUUUGAGUCUUUUCAAGUGAGCACAAAUGGGGUUUGUCAAGUGUGGGGUGUUUUUUGUCUCGGUGGCGGUUCUCAUGGCUUCCUUUUCUGUUUCUUACACUGACCCUAAUGAUGUGACUGCAAUGAAUAGCUUGUUUGUUAGCUUGCAAUAUCCGCAGUUGAUUGGUUGGGUUGCUAUGGGAGGAGACCCAUGUUCAGAUGCAUGGCAAGGAGUUGGUUGUGUAUUCUCAAACAUAACCUCAUUAACACUAAAUGGCUUGAAUUUAGGGGGAACCUUGAACAACGAUUUCAAUAAAUUUACAUCAAUCAUAGAUAUAGAUGUUAGUGAUAAUCAUAUUGGAGGGGAUAUUCCAUCGGCGUUACCCUCUACCUUGAGGAACUUUUCUCUUGCUCGCAAUCAGUUCACUGGAAGAAUUCCAGAUACUUUAAACUCAUUAGGUCAACUGUUAGACUUAUCUUUCCACAAUAAUCAGCUAAUUGGAGGAAUACCAGAUGUCUUUCAACAAAUGACAAGUUUGUCAAAUUUGGAUCUGUCUGGUAAUAAUUUGAGUGAUCAGCUGCCUCCUUCAAUGGGAACUUUGUCUUCUCUCAGCACAUUGCAUUUGCAGAACAAUAGACUUACUGGGACCCUUAAUGUCCUGCAGGAUCUUCCCCUCGAGUAUCUGAAUGUGGAGAACAAUCUAUUUUCUGGGCCUAUUCCGGAGAAGCUGCUGGAUAUUCCAAAUUUCAGAAAAGAUGGAAAUCCCUUCAAUACAUCUAUCAUUCCUUCUCCACCACCUGCCAUCUCUCCAUUUCCAAGCUUGCCACCUGUUGCAGAAGCACCUCAGAAGCAGGCAAAUGGUCCUUCUGCCUCAGUAACACUAAAGUCUGGAAGAUCAAAAGGAUUUUUUGCAUCUAAGAGGGUCAUUUGGAUUGCUGUUAUAGGGGUAGUUGUUAUUAUUAUCAUACUGGGAUUAUGUCUUUUAAUGUCAACAUGCUGCAAAGGAAGGAAAGCAAAUGAAGAAGACAAUGAGAGGCACAAUGUUAGUGUAUAUAAGAGCCAUAUAGAUGAGCCCAUCAGUAAAUCUUCAUUUGAACGAAACAAUCAAGAGAAAGUUACCAAAGAAUCAACCGUAAAGCUGCAAGAUCAAUAUGGACAAGAAGCCAGAAGGCAGGAAGCAUAUCCAAAGGCACAGGGUGAACAGGAUAUUGAUUUGAAGAGAAUGGCUGCAUAUUCAAAGCAAAAGAUGGAUCAUGGGAUAAACAUGACAAGCAUGGAUGCAAAUUUUAUGCCACUGCAGCCGCUGCCCCCACCUCCCCCAAGCCUUCCUAUUGGCAAUGUCAUUGCAAAUCCAAUUGGGCAUGCAGCUCAUGAAAAGAGUCAUUCAACCGGGACUCUGAGCUCACAUUUUCCAAGGAUUUUCACCAUUGCUACACUUCAGCAGUACUCAAACAGCUUUUCAGAAGAAAAUUUUGUUGGUGAAGGGACACUUGGCAGUGUUUACAGGGCUGAGCUUCCUAGUGGAAAACUACUGGCAGUCAAGAAGCUAAACAGUGGAGCUUCCAAGCAACAGACUGAUGAGGAAUUUCUUCAACUAGUUUCUAGCAUAUCGAAAACUCAACAUGAUAAUAUCGUGGAGUUUGUGGGAUACUGUAAUGAGCAUGGGCAACGGUUACUUGUUUAUGAGUAUUGCAAAAAUGGGACAUUGUAUGAUGCAUUGCAUGCGGAUGAUGAAAUCCAUAGGAAAUUCUCAUGGAAUGCACGUGUCCGGCUGGCACUAGGAGCUGCUAGAGCCCUCCAGUAUCUGCAUGAGGUUUGUCAACCACCUAUUGUGCACUGGAAUUUUAAAUCUUCCAACAUUCUCCUUGAUGAUAAGCUAGUAGCUCGUGUCUCAGACUGUGGCCUGGCUCCUCUGAAAUCAUCUGGCUUUGCAACUGAGUUAUCAGGGCGCGUCCUCAGUGCUCAUGGUUAUGGGGCUCCAGAGCUUGAGUUGGGAAGUUAUACUAGCAAGAGUGAUGUAUAUAGCUUUGGAGUUGUGAUGCUAGAGCUCCUCACCGGUAGAAAAUCUUAUGACAGGUCAUUGAGUCGAGGGGAGCAAUCUCUGGUUAGAUGGGCAAUUCAUCAGCUUCAUGAUAUAGAUGCACUUUCUAGGAUGGUUGACCCCUCUAUAAAGGGGGCAUGUCCUGUGAAGUCUUUAUCACGUUUUGCUGAUAUAAUAUCUAGAUGUGUGCAGUGGGAGCCCGAAUUCAGGCCACUUAUGUCUGAAAUCGUUCAGGAUCUUUUAUGUAUGUUAUAGAGGAGGACCUCAAAAGUCAAGCUUAUUAGAAAAUGGCCAGGCCAAGAUUUUUGCGAGGUCAUUUGUUAGGCUUGAUGGCAGCCCACUUCAUGUCUUUUCUAUUAGCUCGAGAGCCAGUCGUUAACUUGAAACCGUGUGCUCAUCUCCAUAAUUGGAUCCAGUGGAUGGUGAGGGGUCUCUCUAAGUUCUUUCCCUUUUAUUUUCAGAAGUGCCGCCUUUCUGUAAUUAUAAUGACCAGAUAUGCUUCAGCUUUUUCACAACAGAGCAGCAGUAAUCAAGUGCAAGUGUGAUUUUUAAUAAAGAAAUAAAAAUAUUGUAAAAGGGCAAAGGCCGGGGACAGAAAUUCUUUAGAUUUUAUGGGUGCUAAGUUGCUGGUGAGCCUGAGAUGUCGGCCGGCUCCCUGACAGUCAAAUACUAUUCUUUUGCUUUAUCAUAUUUAAUUUCCAAAUCAGUGUCCAUACAAAAUAACCUAACAUGUCGACAAUUAGAA